GUACUUCACAUAUGACCUUUUCGUUAGUUAUUUCAUCGAAAACUGGGCCAAAUCCCAGCGUGGUCCUUGCUUCUCGUUUGAAUGAAGUUCAAUAACAAAAGGAAUGCUCUCGUUUGGGAAGCACCGGUUAUUGAUAUACAACACGUACAAAGAUCGGUAUCAUGACAUUCUGCUUAAAAGCUGCUUAAAGCUGUGUGAAAAGGCAUCUGGAGAAGAACAAAGGAACUCGUUUCAAGUAGGAAUACUUCAUCGAUUCAUAACAAGUGUGUAGUCAACAGGCGUGAUGUCAUAUCUCGGAUUAAACUGCUUCUUGGUUGUCGACAAAUGUGAAAAAAGUAGACGCAAAAAAUAUUUUAGAACAAGAAAAUAUAUUUUUUCUUUGCCUAUUCCAGGAUUACCUAUCUGAUGUUCUCUUUCUCUCACUUUUCUUUUAAUGGAGCCUUUUCCUUUGGGCAUAAUGGUUCCUUAACUCAAACCUCUUUUAAACCAAAUUCACAUGUAUCUUCUAAACAGGAACUAAAGACUGAGUCUAAUAAUACCCAAAACGUGAACUUACACGUUAUCUGUAAACGGCGGGAAAUUAGCCUUGAAAUAAAWGGCAAUUGUUCUCCUUCUCUGUUUAUCUUAGGGUUUUUUUUUUUUUACUUUUGAGAACAUUGCUGAUCGCCGCAUUAAUGCGGUACUGCAUGAGUGAAAAGUGAUAAUGAAAAUGAGUUUCUUGAUACAAUAAAGUAAUAAAGCCAAAAUGA